rnacentral:tRNA from 1 species
UCUAAUAUGGCAGAUUAGUGCACUGGAUUUAAGACCCACUCAUAAAGCCUCAGCUUUUUUUAGAA